AAGACUACUUUCAGGGAUCGUGUCUACAGUUUCUUACUAGUUUUUCUGAGCGUGCAGAGCACCUGAAACCACAAGGGGGCGCGGCAUUCUCUCCUGAGCCUGAAGCAGGCCUUUGGUGUGCUUUGCAACUGCUGUUGUUGGCCCUUGAUGGUCAUUCUAGCCUUCCUUUGGGAGAGUAAGAGGGGAAGGACAAGCGCAGUCUCAGUGGC